rnacentral:rRNA from 1 species
CAGGCCUAACACAUGCAAGUCGAACGAGAAAGUGGAGCAAUCCAUGAGUAAAGUGGCGACCGGGUGAGUAACACGAUGACUAACCUACCUUCNAGUGGGGAAUAACCUCGGGAAACCGGGGCUAAUACCGNAUAAUGUCUUCNGACCAAAGGAGCAAUUCGCUGGAAGANGGGGUCGCGGCCGAUUAGCUAGUUGGCGGGGUAACGGCCCACCAAGGCAAUGAUCGGUAGCCGGCCUGAGAGGGCGCACGGCCACNCUGGAACUGAAACACGGUCCAGACUCCUACGGGAGGCAGCAGUGGGGAAUUUUGCGCAAUGGGGGAAACCCUGACNCAGCAACNCCGCGUGGAGGAUGAAGCCCCUUGGGGUGUAAACUCCUUUCGAUCGGGACGAUAAUGACGGUACCGGAUGAAGAAGCACCGGCUAACUCUGUGCCAGCAGCCGCGGUAAUACA